rnacentral:rRNA from 1 species
UACAGAGGGUGCGAGCGUGUCCGGAAUCACUGGGCGUAAAGGGCGCGUAGGUGGUGGCUUAAGCGUGCGGUGAAAGCUCGGAGCUCAACUCCGAGUCGGCCGUGCGAACUGGGCUCACUGGAGCAUAGUAGAGGCAGGUGGAAUUCCGGGUGUAGCGGUGGAAUGCGUAGAGAUCCGGAAGAACACCGGUGGCGAAGGCGGCCUGCUGGGCUAUGGCUGACACUGAGGCGCGACAGCGUGGGGAGCAAACAGG